GCCAUAGUUCAGUGGUAGAGCAUCUUCUUUGCAUGCAGAAGGUCUUGGGUUUGAUUCCCGGCGUCUCCA